rnacentral:rRNA from 1 species
UACGUAGGGUCCAAGCGUUAAUCGGAAUUACUGGGCGUAAAGCGUGCGCAGGUGGUUGUGCAAGACCGAUGUGAAAUCCCCGGGCUUAACCUGGGAAUUGCAUUGGUGACUGCACGGCUAGAGUGUGUCAGAGGGGGAUAGAAUUCCACGUGUAGCAGUGAAAUGCGUAGAGAUGUGGAGGAAUACCGAUGGCGAAGGCAGCCCCCUGGGAUAACACUGACGCUCAUGCACGAAAGCGUGGGGAGCAAACAGGAUUA